AGCUAGUCAAGCUUGCCCUUCCUGUCAGUUCUCAAGUCCUCCCCCCCUGCAGGUCAGACCAGCCCCUCAGAGGAGCCCAGAGAAUGACAGAAGAGCCCAGGGCAGGCCUCUCCUCCAUGAGCCUCUCUCAGCUGCCGCUGCUCGAGACACGCAGCCUCCGUGCUCUGAGGGACAGAAAUGGAAAGCUGGUGUCAGCUGGAGGAGAAAGUGAGGGCCCCAGAGAUGGCCUUCUCCAGGCUGAAAAGGAGAUCAAACAUGAAAAUGUGCGAACUCCCUGUGAUGGGGUCUCUCUCACCUUGAGCCUCCAGAGGAGUAUGUCAGAUGCUGUGCCAAGGGCUGAGGUCACAGGCAGGUGGCGCGCCCAAGUCCUGGGCAGGAGGAGAGCAGAUGCAUGCCUAGGGCAGGGCUGGGGCAGGAGCAGCCUCACGUGAGCAGCUUUCCUGUCCCUGGACCUCCUCUGGCCACCCUGCUCCUCUGUAGCCCCUGCUUGAGGCCAGGUUCAGCAGGAGAAGCCAAGCCCAUCGAACACCCAGAGAACUGCAGACGGCUGAAGUGUGAUAUGUGCCACUCAGAGCA